CCAUUUGUAGUCUAAUUGGUCAGGAUACUCGACUCUCACCCAAGAGACCCAGGUUCAAGUCCCGGCAAUGGA
rnacentral:tRNA from 1 species